AUUGAACGCUGGCGGCAUGCCUUACACAUGCAAGUCGAACGGCAGCAUGAUCUAGCUUGCUCGAUUGAUGGCGAGUGGCGAACGGGUGAGUAAUACAUCGGAACGUGCCCUGUAGUGGGGGAUAACUAGUCGAAAGAUUAGCUAAUACCGCAUACGACCUGAGGGUGAAAGUGGGGGACCGCAAGGCCUCAUGCUAUAGGAGCGGCCGAUGUCUGAUUAGCUAGUUGGUGAGGUAAAGGCUCACCAAGGCGACGAUCAGUAGCUGGUCCGAGAGGACGAUCAGCCACACUGGGACUGAGACACGGCCCAGACUCCUACGGGAGGCAGCAGUGGGGAAUUUUGGACAAUGGGCGAAAGCCUGAUCCAGCAAUGCCGCGUGUGUGAAGAAGGCCUUCGGGUUGUAAAGCACUUUUGUCCGGAAAGAAAUGGCUCUGGUUAAUACCUGGGGUCGAUGACGGUACCGGAAGAAUAAGGACCGGCUAACUACGUG
rnacentral:rRNA from 1 species